UCGCGUCCAGAUUAGACGCGAUAGUUCGAACUCCGAGAAGUCGAACUCACCGGGUCGACCUGGCUCGUAAGUGUAGACUAGCCCUUAGACAAAGAUCAUUCUCUUGUGGUGACAAGGGAAGCCAGCACUUUGUACUUUUCCUCAAUCAGGAUCUUCUACAAAAGUCAGCCAUGAAUCGGAAGGAGGAGGACUGGAAGUCUCCAAAAGCCAGCAAAUUGCAGAAAGGGCUUACUGGUGUCUCCUGAAAACAGGGAGCUUCUGAAUUUUGGCCAGUUGAAGAGAUACUGAGAAGUUCUGAAGGGAGUUUCAGCCAGCCCUCCUUUAGAAGGAUGGUGCCACAGUACAUAGAGCCGUAACAGUGAACAUUAAAAUGAUCAGUUCCUCA